rnacentral:rRNA from 1 species
CCUAGCCCUUCAGAGGGGGACAACAGUUGGAAACGACUGCUAAUACCGCAUACGAUCCAAUCUCGGCAUCGAGACUGGAUGAAAGGUGGCCUCUAUUUAUAAGCUAUCACUGAAGGAGGGGAUUGCGUCUGAUUAGCUAGUUGGAGGGGUAACGGCCCACCAAGGCGAUGAUCAGUAGCCGGUCUGAGAGGUUGAACGGCCACAUUGGGACUGAGACACGGCCCAG